UACGUAGGGGGCUAGCGUUGUCCGGAUUUAUUGGGCGUAAAGAGCGUGUAGGCGGCCAGACAGGUCCGUUGUGAAAACUCGAGGCUCAACCUCGAGAUGUCGAUGGAAACCGUCUGGCUAGAGUCCGGAAGAGGAGUGUGGAAUUCCUGGUGUAGCGGUGAAAUGCGCAGAUAUCAGGAAGAACACCUAUGGCGAAGGCAGCACUCUGGGACGGUACUGACGCUGAGACGCGAAGGCCAGGGGAGCAAACGGG
rnacentral:rRNA from 1 species